CGGACGGGUGAGUAACGCGUGGGUAACCUGCCUUGUACUGGGAGACAACAGUUAGAAAUGACUGCUAAUACCGCAUAAGCGCACAGUAUCGCAUGAUACAGUGUGAAAAACUCCGGUGGUACAAGAUGGACCCGCGUCUGAUUAGCUAGUUGGUAAGGUAACGGCUUACCAAGGCGACGAUCAGUAGCCGACCUGAGAGGGUGACCGGCCACAUUGGGACUGAGACACGGUCCAA
rnacentral:rRNA from 1 species